AGGACAUGUUCCUCCUCUCUCAGGGAGGAAGAACCUUUGGGGGAGUGGGUUGGUCCCUCCAAGCACAGGGCAGUGCUCUGGGAUUAGAGGAAUUCUCCAGGUUUGAGCUGCUGUGAUUUGGGUUUAUUCAGAGGGGAAUAAGAAUUUUCUAUAGAAGAGGAGAAAUACUGUCCCUGAGCCACUUGUGAACAUAAAUCCUGGGUGAUGGGCUGACUGCCACACCUGGGCUUUCAGCAAGAAAAAGGACAGGAAAAAGAUGAUGUAUUUUAUCUGUGGACUUCUGGAGAGGAGAUGUAGAAGUAAAACUGUCCCAUCAAACAGUCCAGUUUGAGUGUGUCACUUGAGAUGUAGCACAGAAUGAAGCCACUGUUAGGUGUGCAGGCAGGAUGGGCUCUGACAGAAAACACUGGUUUCUCUUUGCUUCUGGCAGGAGCAAGGCCAAAAUCUAUUGCUCAGGAUGAUUUU
rnacentral:lncRNA from 1 species